rnacentral:rRNA from 1 species
AGGACGAACGCUGGCGGCGUGCCUAAUACAUGCAAGUCGAACGCUUCUUUCCUCCCGAGUGCUUGCACUCAAUUGGAAAGAGGAGUGGCGGACGGGUGAGUAACACGUGGGUAACCUACCCAUCAGAGGGGGAUAACACUUGGAAACAGGUGCUAAUACCGCAUAACAGUUUAUGCCGCAUGGCAUAAGAGUGAAAGGCGCUUUCGGGUGUCGCUGAUGGAUGGACCCGCGGUGCAUUAGCUAGUUGGUGAGGUAACGGCUCACCAAGGCCACGAUGCAUAGCCGACCUGAGAGGGUGAUCGGCCACACUGGGACUGAGACACGGCCCAGACUCCUACGGGAGGCAGCAGUAGGGAAUCUUCGGCAAUGGACGAAAGUCUGACCGAGCAACGCCGCGUGAGUGAAGAAGGUUUUCGGAUCGUAAAACUCUGUUGUUAGAGAAGAACAAGGACGUUAGUAACUGAACGUCCCCUGACGGUAUCUAACCAGAAAGCCACGGCUAACUACGUGCCAGCAGCCGCGGUAAUACGUAGGUGGCAAGCGUUGUCCGGAUUUAUUGGGCGUAAAGCGAGCGCAGGCGGUUUCUUAAGUCUGAUGUGAAAGCCCCCGGCUCAACCGGGGAGGGUCAUUGGAAACUGGGAGACUUGAGUGCAGAAGAGGAGAGUGGAAUUCCAUGUGUAGCGGUGAAAUGCGUAGAUAUAUGGAGGAACACCAGUGGCGAAGGCGGCUCUCUGGUCUGUAACUGACGCUGAGGCUCGAAAGCGUGGGGAGCAGACAGGAUUAGAUACCCUGGUAGUCCACGCCGUAAACGAUGAGUGCUAAGUGUUGGAGGGUUUCCGCCCUUCAGUGCUGCAGCAAACGCAUUAAGCACUCCGCCUGGGGAGUACGACCGCAAGGUUGAAACUCAAAGGAAUUGACGGGGGCCCGCACAAGCGGUGGAGCAUGUGGUUUAAUUCGAAGCAACGCGAAGAACCUUACCAGGUCUUGACAUCCUUUGACCACUCUAGAGAUAGAGCUUUCCCUUCGGGGACAAAGUGACAGGUGGUGCAUGGUUGUCGUCAGCUCGUGUCGUGAGAUGUUGGGUUAAGUCCCGCAACGAGCGCAACCCUUAUUGUUAGUUGCCAUCAUUUAGUUGGGCACUCUAGCGAGACUGCCGGUGACAAACCGGAGGAAGGUGGGGAUGACGUCAAAUCAUCAUGCCCCUUAUGACCUGGGCUACACACGUGCUACAAUGGGAAGUACAACGAGUCGCUAGACCGCGAGGUCAUGCAAAUCUCUUAAAGCUUCUCUCAGUUCGGAUUGCAGGCUGCAACUCGCCUGCAUGAAGCCGGAAUCGCUAGUAAUCGCGGAUCAGCACGCCGCGGUGAAUACGUUCCCGGGCCUUGUACACACCGCCCGUCACACCACGAGAGUUUGUAACACCCGAAGUCGGUGAGGUAACCUUUUUGGAGCCAGCCGCCUAAGGUGGGAUAGAUGAUUGGGGUG